rnacentral:rRNA from 3 species
GGACGGGUGAGUAAUGUCUGGGAAACUGCCUGAUGGAGGGGGAUAACUACUGGAAACGGUGGCUAAUACCGCAUAACGUCGCAAGACCAAAGAGGGGGACCUUCGGGCCUCUUGCCAUCAGAUGUGCCCAGAUGGGAUUAGCUUGUUGGUGAGGUAACGGCUCACCAAGGCGACGAUCCCUAGCUGGUCUGAGAGGAUGACCAGCCACACUGGAACUGAGACACGGUCCAGACUCCUACGGGAGGCAGCAGUGGGGAAUAUUGCACAAUGGGCGCAAGCCUGAUGCAGCCAUGCCGCGUGUAUGAAGAAGGCCUUCGGGUUGUAAAGUACUUUCAGCGGGGAGGAAGGUGUUGUGGUUAAUAACCGCAGCAAUUGACGUUACCCGCAGAAGAAGCACCGGCUAACUCCGUGCCAGCAGCCGCGGUAAUACGGAGGGUGCAAGCGUUAAUCGGAAUUACUGGGCGUAAAGCGCACGCAGGCGGUCUGUCAAGUCGGAUGUGAAAUCCCCGGGCUCAACCUGGGAACUGCAUUCGAAACUGGCAGGCUUGAGUCUUGUAGAGGGGGGUAGAAUUCCAGGUGUAGCGGUGAAAUGCGUAGAGAUCUGGAGGAAUACCGGUGGCGAAGGCGGCCCCCUGGACAAAGACUGACGCUCAGGUGCGAAAGCGUGGGGAGCAAACAGGAUUAGAUACCCUGGUAGUCCACGCCGUAAACGAUGUCUACUUGGAGGUUGUGCCCUUGAGGCGUGGCUUCCGGAGCUAACGCGUUAAGUAGACCGCCUGGGGAGUACGGCCGCAAGGUUAAAACUCAAAUGAAUUGACGGGGGCCCGCACAAGCGGUGGAGCAUGUGGUUUAAUUCGAUGCAACGCGAAGAACCUUACCUGGUCUUGACAUCCACAGAACUUUCCAGAGAUGGAUUGGUGCCUUCGGGAACUGUGAGACAGGUGCUGCAUGGCUGUCGUCAGCUCGUGUUGUGAAAUGUUGGGUUAAGUCCCGCAACGAGCGCAACCCUUAUCCUUUGUUGCCAGCGGUCCGGCCGGGAACUCAAAGGAGACUGCCAGUGAUAAACUGGAGGAAGGUGGGGAUGACGUCAAGUCAUCAUGGCCCUUACGACCAGGGCUACACACGUGCUACAAUGGCGCAUACAAAGAGAAGCGACCUCGCGAGAGCAAGCGGACCUCAUAAAGUGCGUCGUAGUCCGGAUUGGAGUCUGCAACUCGACUCCAUGAAGUCGGAAUCGCUAGUAAUCGUGGAUCAGAAUGCCACGGUGAAUACGUUCCCGGGCCUUGUACACACCGCCCGUCACACCAUGGGAGUGGGUUGCAAAAGAAGUAGGUAGCUUAACCUUCGGGAGGGCGCUUACCACUUUGUGAUUCAUGACUGGGGUGAAGUCGUAACAAGGUAACCGUAGGGGAACCUGCGGUUGGAUCACCUCCUUACCUUAAAGAAGC